UGUGUAUGUAUGUUUGAGAAAGUUUCGGUCACAUGGGGGAGUAGGUGAGGCAGUAUCAUGUUCAGUCAUGUUAAGCCAUGGAUCACCUCGACUUGACCAGCUGUGAACAUUCACCAGUUCGAGCCCCGCUCUUCAGAUUUUUCUCCUUCCUUUAACACAUUAAUUCGAACUGCUCUGAGUUUUCUUCUAGAAUUUUGUUGAGGAAAGUUAAAAAAAUAGGGUAACUCUUGCUUUGAUGGUGAGCCAUUGUGAGUGAACACGAGCACCAGUCAUGUGAGUGAACGCGAGCACCAGUUAUGUGAGUGAACGCGAGCACCAGUUAUGUGAGUGAACGCGAGCACCAGUUAUAAUCCUCCGGAAUUAUUACAAAGAACUGAGAAUAGCAGUGACAACACAGUACCUUAAGAUGCACGUAAGUUCCCUGUCUUCUAAUACCAUGUUCACUUUUCCACUAUAAUCUACCUUGUCUAUAAUUACUAUAACAUUUGUUUUGUCUGUUUCGUAAGGUGAAGUCCAGGAUCUUUACUUAAUUUAUGGUAUAACUUAACAGAUCUUUGAAGACAGUUUUGUUGUAGAGGUCUGAGCGCCGCUCAGACCUCUACAACACAGACCUAAUUACCUUCCAUCUGUCCCAUUUCCCAGGAGCUGUCAGACCCUUACGGGUUUAGUGCUUUCCUACGAAUACAGUAAUAAUACAUAUCUUUCCAAACAGCUCACGUCCAACCUCUUUGUUGUGGCUGUUACUGUAGUGAGGAAGCCCUAAGCCCGUAGGGGACGCACACCGCCUGGGGAAUGGGAAAUGAUUAGGAUCAGGUAUGAUGCAAGGAAAGGAAGCUUAGCUCCAUUUCCUUGGAUCGAAAGUUCUAUAGCAUCAAGAUGCCACUCUUGAUGGGAACCUUAAGUUAAAAAGGAUGACGUUUUAAAUUGUAGGUUAUUAUAGUAUUCUUGUAUCAUUAGCGCCUCAACACAGAGAAGGAAGGAAGGAAGGAAGGGAGGAAGGGAGGAAGGAAGGAAGGAAGGAAGGGGCUAGCCAUCAAAGCUGGGUUACUCACUUCUGUUAUAUAUCUUGUUAGUGUUUAUUCCUAAAACAUCGUGUUUACGCUCAUCUGAACAAUUUUAUUGUUGGUCGAACUGAUGUGAAAGUCCGGAGUCUCGAGCCCGUACUCUGGCCAUGAGUGUGUGUGUGUGUUAUGAUCCCCUCUGUCCUUGGACUAUAUCUCCUUGAGCUUUCCCUGCUUACAGUACCUUGUCUGGGUUGGCUUAGAAGAUAAUUAUGAUAGAGUGAACAGUAACGGAAUCAGUUAGAAAUUUAAUGAAAAGUUCAGAUGAACAUGCGAUAGAAUGAUCUGUAGUAUGAGAGUUAGUUAAUUGGUUAACUGAGCUAAUGAGUAAGUUUCUCAGAGGCGUGAUUCAUGACGUCAUAAAUGGCCAUUAACUGUGUUAGCCAGUAAUGUGUCCUCUCUGAUGCAUGUUCCAUGACUUCAAGAACCAUCAAGCGUUAAAGCUUUACCAAACAAGCUUAAACCAUCCAGUUUAUAAGAGUUCUACAUCCCAAACAUAUCUUAAGUCUACAGUUGUCCUCGCGGGGUCAUUUUCGUAGCUGCACAAAUUCUACAUAUCAUUAUGCCUUAAUUAAGUCCACAAUUAGGAUAAUUACUACUACUACGGGCGUAAGUUUAAGUAAGGAAGGCUGAAAACAGACCUUAUCAGCAAUAUAUAAAACUUCAGGUUGUCAGGUAACCAUAAAAAAUUCCUUAAUGCAUUUUUUAAUUAAAUAGUAUUAGUUGAUCAGUGAUAGAACCUUCAUAGAGAGAAUCACAUGGCACCUUGUUAUAUAGAUGUGUCUCUGGUAUUUGACAGAUGUACUGGUGUAUAAUACUCUAAUAAGUGUGUCUGGUGUCUGGCGUAUGAUACGCCAGACGCUGUUAUUGUGCGUGUCUGGCGUUUGACAGAUGUGUCUCGUGGUUAAUGUGCGUGUCUGGCGUUUGAUAGAUGUGUCUCGUGGUUAAUAAUGAGCGUGUCUGGCGUUUGUCAGAUGUGUCUCGUGGUUAAUGUGCGUGUCUGGCGUUUGAUAGAUGUGUCUCGUGGUUAAUAAUGAGCGUGUCUGGCGUUUGUCAGAUGUGUCUCGUGGUUAAUGUGCGUGUCUGGCGUUUGAUAGAUGUGUCUCGUGGUUAAUGUAUAUGUCUAGUGGUUGAUAGAUGUUUCUAGUGGCUGAUGUGUAGGUCUGGAGGUUGAUAGAUGUGUCUAGCGCCUGAUGUGUAUGUCUGGAGGUUGACAGAUGUGUCUAGCGGCUGAUGUGUAUGUCUGGAGGUUGAUAGUUAUGUCUACCGGCUGAUGUGUAGGUCUGGAGGUUGAUAGAUGUGUCUAGCGCCUGAUGUGUAUGUCUGGAGGUUGAUAGAUGUUUCUAGUGGCUGAUGUGUAGGUCUGGAGGUUGACAGAUGUGUCUAGCGGCUGAUGUGUAUGUCUGGAGGUUGAUAGAUAUGUCUACCGGCUGAUGUGUAGGUCUGGAGGUUGAUAGAUGUGUCUAGCGCCUGAUGUGUAUGUCUGGAGGUUGAUAGAUGUGUCUAGUGGCUGAUGUGUAGGUCUGGAGGUUGAUAGAUGUGUCUAGCAGCUGAUGUGUAGGUCUGGAGGUUGAUAGAUGUGUCCAGCGGCUGAUGUGUAGGUCUGGAGGUUGAUAGAUGUGUCCAGCGGCUGAUGUGUAUGCAUAGUGGUAGAUCGGCGUGUGUGAUGUUUGAUAAAUGUGUCUAGCGGUUGAUGUGUAGGUCUGGUCCUUGAUAAAUGUAUCCGGCUUUCAAUAGACGUAUAUAGUGUUUGAUAAAAGCGUUUGAUGUUUAAUAGACGUGUCUGGCAUAUGACAAGGGUGUCAAGCGUGCCUGUCUUUCAUUAUAUGUGUAUAGGAUUUGACAACCGUGCCUAACGUGUGAUAUAUAUGCCAGGAGUUUGAGUGACGUGUCUGGCGUUUAACAGACGUGUCUAACGUAAGACAAAUGUAUCUAGUGUCAUAGCAUUUCAUGACUUUCUUCUUCAUAAUCAUCAUCUAGUUAUUCACGGGAAGAAAGAAGCAAACAACAUAAAUACUGUAUAUGUGUUUUGCAUGUUGCAGAAAGUCUGGAAGAUGAUAGAAGCGUAUGUGAUAAAAGUCGCUGAAAGAUACCCUAAAGACAAUAAUUUAAUUGGUUUCUUUCAUGAAAAAAACGAUAAACCAGUUAGGGUCAUGCAGUGGUAAAUUUCUGACAAAUUGGGUAAUAUCAAAGAAAAUGUUAGGUCCUUCAUCCGUUGUGUGUUCCUGAGAGACAGUAGCCUCGAACCCACUUACCCUGCCCUGUCUUGCCCUGCUCACCCCUGUCAUGCCCUGUCCUGCCCUUCCCUGUAAUGCCCUGUCCUACCCUGCUGCCCUGCCCUGCCUGGUAAAGGUGUUUCAAUUUUGAGGAUACAAGGUUCUGGUUUGUAUGAGAUCAUUACAGUAUUACGCAGUACACAUCCACUCGGUAAGGACGGUAGGCAGAGAUUCCUGUCAGAGUUAGUCAGAGUUUGUAUGUUCGUCUCAGUAUCAAAAUACACAGUGGAAAUAUAUCACUUUACUGGGUUAUCUUAGAAUAAAUUCUACACACUUCACAAAACCAUCGGAAAGGUUUAAUAUUAUGUUUGAGGCCUAAAUGAAAACUAACUUAUUAAAAAAUAUACUUUAUCCGAUUUAGUGUUAAAUUCUCCAAAUGUUUCAUUUUUAUUUUUAUAGAAUAACCAAUGAAUAAAUAAAUGUUAUUUUUGUUUGAAUUUACUUAUAGAGCACAAGUGUAAUAGAGCCUCGCUCUACCUACCAUUAAAAAUACCAGAAUACAAACUAUAUCAGCCUCCCAAAUUUAAAGACCAUACGAUCUAGGUAGAGGAAGUGUGAAACACAAAGAGAAACAGAGAACAUGACCCACAUACCACCCCUCUUGUCCUACAUUAGCCACAUAUCGCCCCCUCUUGUCCUACAUUAGCCACAUAUCGCCCCUCCAGUUAACUGCCAGGUCCUGGGAUACAGCUUCUUACCUUGGUAAUGUUUAGCUUGUCAGAAGUUUGUGAUAGAUCAACUAAUUUGCCUUGAAGAAUGUUAUUAUUCUAGCUUAUACAUAAGACGUGACUUAAGCAAUUAUGAUAUGAACACCAAAAUAUUACAUUGAAUUUAUUGGGUCAUCCUAGGUUCAAUUCUACAUUAUAUACUAUGUAAGACCUUUGUAAAGCUUUAAACUUAUGUAUAAAGCCUAAAUAAACUUACUGACGGGAAAAAAACUGAGUAGAAAUGAACUAUAUAUUUUGGCUUCAUUGUGAGACUAUCUUCGGCAUUUGACUCUUGUUUUAUUUACUUGUUCAUGAGUUACUGUUUACGAGACUUAAUAUUAACACCAGUCAUGGUCUGGUGUACAGUGUGAGGGAGAAGAUGACCGGUGCUUAUCUAGGGUCUCCUGUCUACUUCCUAGCCACAACAGGCGGUAUUUAACCUAAUUAUAAGUCACCUGACUAUAGUUACUGACGAUAAUCACGAGACUUGAUAAUUAUACAUAAUUACUAGGAAUCUGAACACCUAAAUAGCAGUUACAAAGUUUUAUGUAAUUUUUUUGACAUGCUGAGAAGUCACAAUUUUCGUUCGUUUUAUGAAAAUGUCCGAAUAUUUCAUGACUAUUUUAAUCAUAGUUCACGGCAAGUAUGAGAUAGUAAAGCAGAGAUAUCUUGAGUUAUGUGUUUGUCAAGACAAUAAUGUGUAAAAAGUGAACUCUUUAUUGCGACAGUAAAUUAUAUGCAAAAAUAA